CACGUAGGGGCCAAGCGUUGUCCGGAUUUAUUGGGCGUAAAGAGCUCGUAGGCGGCUCGGUAAGUCGGGUGUGAAACCUCCAGGCUCAACCUGGAGACGCCACCUGAUACUGCUGUGGCUAGAGUCCGGUAGGGGAGCGUGGAAUUCCUGGUGUAGCGGUGAAAUGCGCAGAUAUCGGGGAAGAACACCCGUGGCGAAGGCGGCACUCUGGGACGGUACUGGACGCUGAGACGCGAAAGCGUGGGGAGCGAACAGG
rnacentral:rRNA from 1 species